rnacentral:rRNA from 1 species
AUAAGAGCUGGGCAAGACCGGUGCCAGCCGCCGCGGUAACACCGGCAGCUCUAGUGGUAGCAACUUUUAUUGGGCCUAAAGCGUCCGUAGCCGGUUUAAUAAGUCUCUGGUGAAAUCCUGUAGCUUAACUAUGGGAAUUGCUGGAGAUACUAUUAGACUUGAGACCGGGAGAGGUUAGAGGUACUCCCAGGGUAGAGGUGAAAUUCUGUAAUCCUGGGAGGACCGCCUGUUGCGAAGGCGUCUAACUGGAACGGUUCUGACGGUGAGGGACGAAAGUUAGGGGCGCGAACCGGAUUAGAUACCCGGGUAGUCCUAACUGUAAACGAUGCGGACUUGGUGUUGGGGUGGCUUUGAGCUGUUCCAGUGCCGAAGGGAAGCUGUUAAGUCCGCCGCCUGGGAAGUACGGUCGCAAGACUGAAACUUAA